AUUAAGAUAAGAGAAGGAAAAAGAAAGAAAAUAGUUAGAUAAGGAAGAUUAUGAAAAAGGGAUUCAACGAAACUGGCAUAGGUCUAGGAACAUGCACAAUCCUAACCACAUACCACAUCACAAAGGAAAUCCAAUCCCACCUUUUCAACAGGGGAGAAAAGUGAAUGAAAGAAGAACUUACAACAUAUCUUAUCCCAUCAGGGAAACCAAUAGGAGAUUACAUCAGAAGCCCUAUACACCAAAAUGAAGUUAUUACACUCAACAUAAACCCUCAACACCAAGAGGGAGAUACAAUACUC